UGACCAAUCAGUUACCUGAAUAGAAGCAUGGGGGUCUCACAUGGAAUGUUGAAAACAUUUGAUUGACAGAUUCUCCCAAGCCCGCUUUCAAUUGGUGUGGCCUUCCAACAAGCUCACACCUGAACUUUGACAGUGGUUGCCAUAGAAACAAUGACUCAGACCACUUCAGGUCAACCACUACUUAGUGACGUUUCCGACUUCAGCAUUCACAUUGAGAAAAAAUGGCGACUGUAUUCACUUCAUUACACUGAAGUAAGCCAUUUCCUAUGGAUGAUGUCACUCUUACUCAGUCCAGUUCUCAUGUACAGUCCAUGCUACAAACACAGUAUUUUUAUUGGCUCUCUGAUGUCAUCCAAAACAUCCAUCAUUAUUUUGGCAGCUGUUAUGGGCCCCGUUGCCUGUUCCAUGCAUCCUGAAAUAUUAGAGAUCCGUCCCAACUUUCUUCAUAGAAACCGUUGGCCAGUCCAUGAAUCCAUUUGAAAGCUCACAUCACCAAAAGAUGAAGUGUCCUCAGGAACAAGGAACCCUCAACAGCCCAACACUUUUACCUCCAUAUAAUUGUUAAGAUGUUUUUUAAUCAUUCUCCGUUGAUUUACAUGUUAUAGAGUUUGAGGUCUGAACCUCAAUUUAAAUAUUUCAAGUCAACCCAAGGACACAAAUGUUUCCUGAUGUUUUAUAGACUGUCCUAAAGUCCAUAUUAUGGUAAGAAUGGUGUUUACUUAUAUAGUGCUUUACUACCUUCUAGGCCAAAGCACUUUACAGUCACAGUCCCAUUCACCCAUUUACACACACAUUCGACACACUGAUAGUGGCUGUGCUGCCUUAUGCUACAUUCACACUAGAAAGGCAGGGAGGGGCUUCUUCUUCUUCUUGUUCUUUUUCUACUACUCACCAGCACUUGUACCCCGCCUACAGUUGGAAGAGGUUUGGUGGGAAAUGUGGAAGCGAGGAAAAUCUUUACAGAUCUUUCAGACUUUGUCUUUCACAGCUCUAUUACGAUAUAUGAAAGACUUGGUGUCAUAUGAUUCCAGCCGGGCACAGAGCGCAAAUAUAAGUUUGUCCUCCAUGAUGAAUUUUCAAAUGGUUGGCACUUUCUGAAUUAAAAGCGACGCCACCCAAAUGUCACUAACAAAUCUGAGUUCCUGAUUAGUCAAAGUUGGACCUGGUUUAAUUUACAAUCUGCAUUCAGUGGCCACGCGCUUUGUAGGCUAAAAAUGGUCUUAAAAAUCAAUGUAUUUAUAAAGCACUUAGAAAAGCAGGAGCAACCAAAGCGCUAAGCGUGAAAUCAAAUAUACAUAAAAUCAUUAAACCAUAAAAGAAACUAUAACAAUAAAACAAUAAAAGCAAUAAAACAAUAAAAGUUAGCAAACUGGCCCACUAAAUCUGCUCGCUGGAGUAUAAGCCGAAGUAAAAUGUUGAGUUUUUAAAAUCACUGAGGGAUCUGACAUACCUCACAAAAAAGAGGAGAACGUUCCAGAAUUUGGGAGCUGCGACUAAAAGGCUCCGUCUCCCCGAAUCACAAGCCGAGUCCUGGGAACCAUUCAAAGCACUUGAUCUUCAGAUCUGGUCAGAUGGACUCCUCUAUUAUCAAGAACAUAGUGAAUUUAUAUUUCUAUAGACUUUUUCUGUCCAUCUAUCCAUAUGAAUCUCUAUUAAUGUAUCAUAUGUAUAUUUAUCAGAAUGCAUGAUUGUCAGUUAAAUAUUGUGUGUAUAAUAGGAUGGAAUUCUCUCUCUCCCUCGCUGUCAUCCCCCCCCCCCCACACACACAGACUUUUUCUCUUUCCCCCUUUUUCUUGCAUUUACAUUGGUUGUUGAACUUGAUUGUCAGACCAGUCUGUCCAGUUUAUUUUUUUUUGUCUCACUUAAAAAAAAAAAGAAAAAAAGUUUACCCCCAGGUUCCUAAUGAAAGGAGCUUUUGGAGGGUUCAGGAGGCCAACAGCACCACAGCAACCUGUCAGCAGGUCAGUUAAUAAACGUUGCUGUGCGAGAAUUUCAGAGUUUUCCUUUACAUAGACUUUCCAUUGAAAGUGGUCACUUGAACGCAGUUGCAGAGGGCGGUGUGACUCUAGCUUUUCACUGGCACCAACCUAUAACCACCAGGAACCCGUGAGGUUCAGCGUCUUGCCUGGGGACACUUCAACAUGUGGCCGAACACUUACAGUCCCUCCUCCAAACACGUAUCAGAAACCACAGCUUGCUGUUCCAGUUUGUCUUCUGCUCUCUGAUGGUCAUCAUGUUCUGGAGGAACACAGCAGUUCUGCUCCUGAUCCAGAUGUUUCAGGCUCAGCGUGUCUUUGCAGCUGCACCGUUACCUGAACACAGAAGCAUGAAGGUUUCCAGAGGAGUUUCAGUGAAUUUAACUUGUAACGUGUCACUGGAAAACCCAGCAGAAAUCAAAUGGACCAAAGACAAUUUAUCAUUUCAUCAUUCCUUCACUCUCAAUGCCACUGUUUCAAAUUUCUCUUCUUCUAAGAUCAGAAUAGAGACAGACCUUCCUACAAAGUUAAUGAUACUGAACGUUCAAGAUGAAGAUGAAGGACUUUAUAGCUGUAGUCUAACUGACAGUAAAGGAUUUAAAGAAAUUACAUGGAAUCUAACUAAUGAAGUUAAAGAAGGUGAAGAAGAUACCACAUUAAAAUAUAAGAUAUUAUUCUCAGCACUGCCUGCUGUUGCGUUGUUUUUGUGUUGCAUCGUGUCAACUGUCUGCCUCUGGAGAAAAUUUGGAAGAAGUGCUGAGGCUCAACGUCCCAUUCAGACGGAGGUCAAUGACUCUCUGACGCAUUUUUAUUUACAUCCUCUGUUGUUCUCAUUUGCCACUUUGUACCUAUUUCUUUUAGCUUCAGGUACACAGAAAUUUAACCCUGGCCCGAAACCAGAAAUGUGCGGAAUUUCCCUUUCCAAAAUAGAAGUGGUCAUUAACUGUAAUCUGAACUGGAGUUCAGAGACGUGAAUCUGUGCAUUCAUCCUGUUCUGCAUUCCAACAAACUUGGACUUGAGCAGACCUGCAAAUGCAGCUUCCUUCUAUACAACUUAUUAAUGAGUAGAAGCAUGCAGUUUGAACAGGAAUAAAUUUAUUUAAACACACUAGUGACCUUAAAAAAAGGCCACACUGCAAAUAAAGAAAAGAAAAAAAAGAUUCCAUAGUAUUCAGUCAAAGACUCACUCCAGUCAUCUUAUGAUCUAUUUUCUGAUCUAUUUUCAAAGUGGUCUUUUAAUUAUGAUUAUGUUGUUUUUAGUCAAAGUUUAAAAAAAGCUAAAAAAAAAAAACUCUGUGGUUUUCUAUAACAGUUUCUGCAGAGCUGCAGGAGUUUAUUAGAAAUUCACCUCUGAGGUGGUGGUCGUUACAGUUGGCAAGGAGCAACCCCGCCCCUUUCCCCUCGCCGUUGAUGAAAGCACUCUAUUAACCUGAUCCCCUCUCACACCACUAACCUAACCUAACACUAGCAAUGCAUCACAAAUAGAGAGCUAUAUUUUUUAGCCAGUUUGGGGGCAGAUGGCAGCUCAGAUAAGGAAAACAAAGAUGUACAGUAGAACGGAGGGAGGACUUUGGGACCCGACCAGCGUAUUUUCCACAUUACAAUUGUCUGCUCUGGAUUUACAGUGAUUUAAAUAAAGAAAUGCACUUUAAAACUUCAUUUUCUUUGUAAAUGUCCUCCGUCAUUAGAAAAAUGCCACAAGAAAAUGUUAGACACAUCAAAAAUACUUUUUUCAUUGGAGUGGGUCUUUAAACUAUGAGAAUGUCCAAGUGGACUUAAAAAAAAUGUAACAUGAAGAGAAACGGCUUUUUGGUGUCUGAGAAACAAUACUUUAAAAAGCAGAACUAGCCCUAUAUGUGGUGAAAACAGCCUGAGUCAGAUCUCACCCCAGGUCAGGCGGAUUGAGCGAGACGACUGUUGUUGUGAUUUUGGGCUAUACAAAUAAAAUUGAAUUGAAUUGAAUUGAAUUGAUCUUUUCUGUCCUUCCUGUCAGCACUUCCUCUUCUUGCUGCAGUCAGUCAAAGCAUCACCUCUUCUUGUCCUCUGUUGUGUUAGUUCAUUGACAAUUGAUGCAACUGUGUGUGUGCUGCAGCUGCCCAUGUCUGGGACAACAACUGACACCGAUGAUUGGAGGAACAACCGAAACCGGAGCGAACACAUGGAGAGGCUGAACUCCAUCUAUGGCUGUACUAAACUGUGAAGUGAACCUGCAGCUGCAGAGUUGCCAGUUUGACUCCCAACAGGUUUAAACCUGGGUGGCACCUUUGGAUGAUACCCAGCAGUGUUCGUUCCACUCUGGUUACAUCACCAUGGCGCUCCAAAGGCACGGUGGUCAUGUUGAGGUCACGUCUGGAGUCGUGUGAAUGUGAACCUGUUCCAGUGUGGAUAAGGCUUCAAGAAACACUUCCUGUAUAAAUAAAGGUUUAACAAAUCAUUGAAGGAACCAAAGAACAUGUCAGACUACAUCAAAGAACGCUCUGAUAUGUCUGCCUGUCCUGUGAGGUGAAACACUGAAGGAAAUUGCUCCCACUACAACAUCAAAGCUUUAAUGGUUCAACGGACAAUUACUAAGCAACCCAACGGUUCUAUGGAAACAUUUGAACCUUUAUGAGCUUUAUUGUUUGUUUGCUUUUUGGUUCUCUUGUUCUUCAGCGAAAAGCUGAUUCUUUAUGAUGAAGAAAGUAGUUGACACAGUAAAGCAAAGGAAAAAACAUCCUUCAUUGAAGGAAAAGAUGUGAACUUUAAACUGGGCUUUAAAGAUUUUAAGUAUUUAUGCAAAAAACAAAACCUUUAGAUGUUUUAAAAAUAAACCCUUAUCUCAUUUAAAUGUGCUGUUUGUUG